UACGAAGGGGGCUAGCGUUGCUCGGAAUCACUGGGCGUAAAGGGCGCGUAGGCGGACUUUUAAGUCAGGGGUGAAAUCCUGAGGCUCAACCUCAGAACUGCCUUUGAUACUGAGGGUCUCGAGACCGGUAGAGGUAAGUGGAACUCCGAGUGUAGAGGUGAAAUUCGUAGAUAUUCGGAAGAACACCAGUGGCGAAGGCGGCUUACUGGUCCGGUACUGGACGCUGAGGUGGCGAAA
rnacentral:rRNA from 1 species